rnacentral:rRNA from 1 species
UACGUAGGGCGCAAGCGUUUAUCCGGAAUUAUUGGGCGUAAAGAGCUCGUAGGCGGUUUGUCGCGUCUGCCGUGAAAGUCCGGGGCUCAACUCCGGAUCUGCGGUGGGUACGGGCAGACUAGAGUGAUGUAGGGGAGACUGGAAUUCCUGGGUGUAGCGGUGAAAUGCGCAGAUAAUCAGGAGGAACACCGAUGGCGAAGGCAGGUCUCUGGGCAUCUACUGGACGCUGAGGUGCGAGAGCGUGGGGAGCGAACCGG